CCAGCAAAAAAUGCGGGCACACUCCUACCGCUCAGAAGUCCUUUUCUUCCUGGAAAAUGGUCUUUUCUCCCACUCUCACGCCCAAGCCCUGAACUGGGUCCUUGUCAUCUCCCACAACCCGGAUGUCAUUUACUGGCAGAGAGCGGUCGAGAAAGACCCAGAUUAGACUGCUGUUCGGAGCCCCACCGAUAGUCUAGCUUUCUGAGAAACUCUAUGCUGAAUUUGUGGUUUCAAGACUUUAAACGCCUCUUAAGGAAUCCUGCCCAUCCUAUGCUCCCCUCUUCUUCCACCUGCCUUCUAGAAGCCAAGUCUCUGGUCUGCUGUUUUGAUCCAAGCUCUUGUACACCAGAUACUCCAUCACUGUCUUGGAACAGAGGAGUCAGAUGAAGAGCUUGAUAUAAACCCUGCAAAGGAAGCAGUCGCUGAGCCAGAAAUAGGCAGCCAGUACCUGCGUUCAUCCCGAGAUCAUCCCGUCACUCCGGAUUUCCAUACAAGAAGCCUUCUGGGAAACUGUAAAGAAAGAAAUGCCUGAGGCUGCGUACCUACCAAGGAUUUCAGGUACCCAUGGAUUGAAAGGUGGUGCAGUGAUUAAAUAGGAUGCUGAAUUCUUCUCUGUAUGACAGUAAGUGUAGAAGGCUCUGGGAAGAUAUAGGCGUGACCAUCACUCCUGUCUCCUAGUUCCUUUUGUACCAACAGAGAUGUACCACAGGUACAGAAUGAGGUACUUAGUAUUUUUGUGGGGACUUUUGCCUGAACGGAAUGGGGGUUGUCAUGCC
rnacentral:lncRNA from 1 species